AUAAGGUCCACUCUAUACAUACCCAACCCAAAGGUAAUGUUGUUACCAGUUUUGUGUUUUAUCUGCAGAAAGAGGAUAACAUGAGGUUAAUACAACAACCUCUCCCUCAAUGUGACCAAGACAAAGCAGCUGAUAGUGGACGACAGGAAAAGGCCGAACAGGCCCCCAUUUACAUCGACGGAGCGGAAGUUAAGCGGUCGAGAGUUUCAAGUUCCUUGGUGUCCACAUCACCAACAAACUAUCAUGGUCCAAACAUACCAAGACAGUCGUGAAGAAGACAUGACAAAACCUAUUCCCCCUCAGGAGACUGAAAAGAUUUGGCAUGGGUCCCCAGAUCCAUAAAAAGUUCUACAGCUGCACCAUCGAGAGCAUCCUGACAGGUUGCAUCACCACCUGAUAUGGCAACUGACCAUAAUGCUCUACAGAGGGUAGUGCGAAUGGCCCAGUACAUCACUGGGGCCAAGCUUCCUGACAUCCAGGACCUACAUACCAGGUGGUGUCAGAGGAAGGCCCCCCAAAAAAUUUAAAGACUCCAGUCACCUAAGUCAUAGACUAUUCUCUCUGCUACAUCGCGGCAAGCGCUACCGGAGCAUCAAAUCUAGGACCAGAAGGCUCCCUAACAGCUCUUACCCCGAAUCCAUAAGACUGCUGAAUAAUUUGUUUAAACACUGCUGCUCAGAUCACGUAGACUAACCUGUACUCCUGCACAUUGACUCGGUACCUGUACACCCUGUAUAGAGCCUCGUUAUUGUUAUUUUAUUGUGUUACUUUUUCAUUGAUUUGGUAUGUUUUACUUAAGUUUAUUUAGUAAAUAUUCUAUUAAGUACUUGGUGAACUGCAUUGUUGUUUAAAGGGGUUGGAAGUAAGCAUUUCACCGUAAGGUCUACUACACCUGUUGUAUUCAGCAUUUCACCGUAAGGUCUACUACACCUGUUGUAUUCAGCAUUUCACUGUGAGGUCUACUAUACCUGUUGUAUUCAGCAUUUCACUGUAAGGUCUACUACACCUGUUGUAUUCACCAUUUCACUGUGAGGUCUACUAUACCUGUUGUAUUCACCAUUUCACUGUAAGGUCUACUACAUCUGUUGUAUUCACCAUUUCACUGUGAGGUCUACUAUACC
ensembl:lncRNA